UUUUCUUCGCCGGCCUUUCUCUUCUCCUUCAUCACCUUUCUCCCAAAGCUGGCUCACCUCUUCUCAUUCAUGAAGAUUUCUUCACUUAGUUGCCUUUUUGCCAAACAAUCUGGUUUUAUCUCUCAGGUCACUAAAAUUCCAUACAUACCUGUUCAAUUUGAUAGUUCAGAAUUCGGAAUUAGGGUAUUGUGAAGAAAGAGAAUUUUAAAAGAAUUAGGGUAUUGCGUUGCCACCUCGUUACAAAAAAUUCCUUUUUCUUCCACGCAAUCCAAUACCCAAUAGCCCAAACCCCUCUCCAUCGUCUUUUCGUUUCCUCUGCCUUUUGUUUUUUUAAGGAAAAAAAACAUUACAUUACUUAAAAAUUUAAUUUAAUAUCCUUUUUCAACCUUCUCAUUGUUAUUUCUUUUCGUUCCUUUGGUGUUUCUUCAACCCUUGUUUUAUGUUUCCGCGAACCAGAGAAUCAGCCAAACUGUUUUUCUAGAUUGUUAAGGCUUCAGAAGAAGCUGCGUACGUCAGAGACCUCUCAGAUGAUUUGCUGCAGCCAACUACAAAACGGUCUCACAAUGUCUCAACCAAGGAAGUCAUAUUCUGGAAAAUUUUUAAGUGCCAACAAUUGAAGUGUUCCCUGCAGCUGCUCUAACACCUGCACUAGCAGCACUAGAGAUGAGAAUGAACUGAGGGAGGAAUCAGAAGCCCUUUGUUGGAGAACCCAAAUAUAUCCCCCUAGAAAGGCUUGCCAGACAAGGCAUCAACAACAAGAUUUGCAUUUGGUUGGGUGGGUUCUUCCCUGUGGUACUGUCAAAUAGCUGGUGAAAAUCUGAGAGUUUUGAUAUGUUUGCCUGCAUUUGGGAAGCUUCACAAAAAAGUAUUGCAGAUGCCUUCUGUGGGUUUGGGUUAUCAAAUGUUGAACUAAGCGAGCUUGUCUUGUCUUGUGCUCCCUUUUUGCUUUGUAUAAACAUUCUUUUUGGAAAAAGGAAUAUAUAUAUAUAUUUAGGAAUCAACUUCUAAAAUGAUUAAUAGGAAGAGUAACUCUUGGAAUCCGUCAUUUCUAUUACAAUAGUCUUGAUAUUACAGAUAAUAAAAUUCAAACCAUGCCAUGGGCAGCGAUUCUUGAAAAGGUUGUCCAGCUACAAAGUUUGCAACAGCUUUGUGUGGUUAAGGAUCUUUCUGCUCAUGAUGUGGUGAUGCAAUUGAUGCAAAAGGAAAACUACUUGAUCGGAAUGCUUAACAAGGGAGUACUUGCAUUUCCAAUCUCAAAAUGGGUCCCUGGUGCUGGUCCAACUGUCAAAUCUGGUUCAAAGGGAAAGUGCCAUCGUUUGAUACUGACUAAAACCCUUGAGUGGACCUUAAAUUGGUGCAUACUACAGAGCAUGUUUGAUAGGUAUGUUAAACUUGACCAUGCAUUUCUUGUCAUGGAUUUCUGUUCAUAUUUAAGAUACAUAUUUUGAUUGGUGCGUACAGUUGGACAUAUGUCAAUAUGUAAUAUGUAAAAUGUCCAUUUCAUAUUUUUGAGACAAUAUGUAGAAGACAAGAAGUUAUUUUUAAAUUUGGCAGUUCUUACAAGUUUGUUCUUUUCAAGGGAUGGUUUCUUCUUAUCCUAGAUGCU